rnacentral:piRNA from 1 species
UUCCAAAUUGGAGACAUGAGGUUGCCU